CCUACGGGAGGCAGCAGUGAGGAAUAUUGGUCAAUGGGCGGAAGCCUGAACCAGCCAAGUAGCGUGAAGGAUGACGGCCCUACGGGUUUUAAACUGCUUUUAUACGGGAAUAACGCGCCUUACGUGUAGGGCUUUGCAUGUACCGUAUGAAGUAGGACCGGCUAAUUCCGUGCCAGCGGCCGCGGUAAUACGGAAGGUCCGGGCGUUUUCAGGAUUUAUUGGGGUUAAAGGGAGCGUAGGCGGCAAGUCAAGGGUGCUGUGAAAUGUCCGGGCUCAACCCGGGUCUUGCAGCGCGAACUGGCGUGCUUGAGUCCGCGGAAAGCAGGCGGAAUUCGUCGUGUAGCGGUGAAAUGCUUAGAUAUGACGAAGAACCCCGAUUGCGAAGGCAGCUUGCUGCAGCGGAACUGACGCUGAUGCUCGAAAGCGCGGGUAUCGAACAGGAUUAGAUACCCGGGUAGUC
rnacentral:rRNA from 1 species